AACCUGGGAACUGCAUCUGAUACUGGCAAGCUUGAGUCUCGUAGAGGGGGGUAGAAUUCCAGGUGUAGCGGUGAAAUGCGUAGAGAUCUGGAGGAAUACCGGUGGCGAAGGCGGCCCCCUGGACGAAGACUGACGCUCAGGUGCGAAAGCGUGGGGAGCAAACAGGAUUAGAUACCCUGGUAGUCCACGCCGUAAACGAUGUCGACUUGGAGGUUGUGCCCUUGAGGCGUGGCUUCCGGAGCUAACGCGUUAAGUCGACCGCCUGGGGAGUACGGCCGCAAGGUUAAAACUCAAAUGAAUUGACGGGGGCCCGCACAAGCGGUGGAGCAUGUGGUUUAAUUCGAUGCAACGCGAAGAACCUUACCUGGUCUUGACAUCCACGGAA
rnacentral:rRNA from 1 species